rnacentral:rRNA from 1 species
UGGGGAAUUUUGGACAAUGGGCGCAAGCCUGAUCCAGCCAUGCCGCGUGCAGGAUGAAGGCCUUCGGGUUGUAAACUGCUUUUGUACGGAACGAAACGGCUCUUUCUAAUAAAGAGGGCUAAUGACGGUACCGUAAGAAUAAGCACCGGCUAACUACGUGCCCGCAGCCGCGGUAAUACGUAGGGUGCGAGCGUUAAUCGGAAUUACUGGGCGUAAAGCGUGCGCAGGCGGUGAUGUAAGACAGAUGUGAAAUCCCCGGGCUCAACCUGGGAACUGCAUUUGUGACUGCAUCGCUGGAGUGCGGCAGAGGGGGAUGGAAUUCCGCGUGUAGCAGUGAAAUGCGUAGAUAUGCGGAGGAACACCGAUGGCGAAGGCAAUCCCCUGGGCCUGCACUGACGCUCAUGCACGAAAGCGUGGGGAGCAAACAGG